rnacentral:lncRNA from 1 species
GAGAAAUGUAUAUAUGAAUAAAAAAUAUCUCCUUAAGCAAUAAACAAAUUGCUGGCCAUUUAGUGUCAAAUAUCAAUCACAUGCAAUGCUUAUUAUGACAUAUAUCUUGCACUCUCACUGCUGAAAGUUCUCUAGAAAAGAAUUAUACAUAAUUAAUUACUAGCAUAGGAUGAGCAGGAUGAGGUUUUUUUUUUUUUUUGAAUAUACUAGGGGGAGGGUUGGGUUGGGUUGGGUGGUAUGGGGAAGGGAGUGUAAGGAAGAGGUCUUAAGUUCGAGUCCUCCUGUUUACACUAAAAAAAAAAAAAAGAACAUACUACAAGAUGUUUUCAGUAAAUUUGGAACAUACUACAGGCGGGAUGCAUGCAUUUCGGAAAACAACUUCAGUAAGUUUGAAAGGGAAGUUGUUUUCCAUAAGAUGAGUGAAAAUAUUUUACAUAGGAAAUUGUUUUCAGUAACUUUUGUGCAACCAAACACGGGAAAUUAGGAAAAUAUUUUUCUGGAAAACAUUUUCACCCGAAACAAACGGACCC